rnacentral:rRNA from 1 species
GGAGAGGGCUAGCGUUAUUCGGAAUUAUUGGGCGUAAAGGGCGCGUAGGCGGAUUAGUAAGUUAAAAGUGAAAUCCCAAGGCUCAACCUUGGAAUUGCCUUUAAAACUGCUAAUCUAGAGAUUGAAAGAGGAUAGAGGAAUUCCUAGUGUAGAGGUGAAAUUCGUAAAUAUUAGGAGGAACACCAGUGGCGAAGGCGUCUAUCUGGUUCAAAUCUGACGCUGAGGCGCGAAGGCGUGGGGAGCAAACAGGAUUAGAUACCCUGGUAGUCCACGCUGUAAACGAUGAAUGUUAAAUAUGGGGAGUUUACUUUCUGUAUUACAGCUAACGCGUUAAACAUUCCGCCUGGGGACUACGGUCGCAAGAUUAAAACUCAAAGGAAUUGACGGGGACCCGCACAAGCGGUGGAGCAUGUGGUUUAACUCGAUGCAACGCGAAAAACCUUACCACUCCUUGACAUGGAAAUUAUACCUAUUCGAAGGGAUAGGGUCGGUUCGGCCGGGUUUCACACAGGUGU